rnacentral:rRNA from 1 species
CGACCGGCGCACGGGUGAGUAACACGUAUCCAACCUGCCGUCUACUCUUGGCCAGCCUUCUGAAAGGAAGAUUAAUCCAGGAUGGGAUCACGAGUUCACAUGUCCGCAUGAUUAAAGGUAUUUUCCGGUAGACGAUGGGGAUGCGUUCCAUUAGAUAGUAGGCGGGGUAACGGCCCACCUAGUCAACGAUGGAUAGGGGUUCUGAGAGGAAGGUCCCCCACAUUGGAACUGAGACACGGUCCAA